GAAGUACAACGAGUUGCGGAAUCGUGAGGCUAAGUUAAUCUCUUAAAGCUUCUCUCAGUUCGGAUUGCCGGGUGCAACUUGCCUGCAUGAAGCCCGAAUCGCUAGUAAUCGGGGAUCCGCACGCCGCGGGGAAUACGUUCCCCGGCCUUGUACACCCCCCCAGUUCCACCACGAGAGUUUGUAACACCCCAAGUCGGUGAGGUACCUUUUUGGAGCACAGCCGCCCUAAAGGUUGAAAAGAGAGGU
rnacentral:rRNA from 1 species